AGCAAUAGGUCUGAUAGGAGAUCCAAAUUCCCUCUUUGAAGCUUCACCUUUUAAAGAAUGCAAGGCGCUGAAAAUAAUCUCAUAGCACUGCUCACGUUGAGCAAGUGCAAGAUCUCGAAUUCCAGCAUCUAUUUGCUCAUUAAAAGCAUCACCAGCAGGGUCAAGAGCUUGUGCCUUUUGCAGAGGUAAUAGGACCACAGCUUCAUAAAAUCUCAGAUCUUCAAAACGUUUACAUACAGUCCGCAGAUCUGCAGACUCUGGAACUUUGAUUAGGUAGUUGAAUGCCUCUCUCGCAAGGUUUUCUCUCUCCUCUGCAUCUAAUGUAGCAGCAGCUCUAUCAAGAGAUUCAACUGCUAAGUAGAACUUGUAAUCAGAUUCUUUGUAAUAACUUGGGCAACCCUCUCGUAGUCUACCACUUAUGUCGUCAACAGUUCCCCUGCCAUCUGGACCAGUGUAAUGCUCCAUGAGGGCAGAUACAAGUCUCGUUGCAAGUCUAUCUCCCUCUUCUGAACAAACUAGUUGAUGGAAUGUCAACUGAACUAGGGCCUGCUUGAUAUUAGCUUCAAAAUUUUGAAUCAAGCGUGUUACAUGAUGUUGUGUAAGAAGUUGCAGCAAGAAUAUGGCUUCGCCACAUCUAAGGAGCAAUUGCCUGAUACACUCCAUGGCUCUAACCUCCAUGGCAGUAAGUUCUGCAGAACUAUAAGGAAGUCGUUGCCUUUUGUUUGAAGAUCCACCUUCAUUGGACUCGACAUUGCGAGCAUAAGAUCCAAAUAGAUUUCUUACCAUACUUCUGUCACCAGCCCCCAUAUCUGAGCCAGUUCCAAUCAAAAUUGAGCCUGUCAAGUCACCUAAGCCAGCAACACAACCAUAAAGUCCCCUUCUCUGGUUCCUCCUAGAUCUCAGGAACUUCUCUAAAGAACGUAUCUUGUCUUCCAGGAUUUGCAUGAUCUCACCAGGAAGUCGGCAGACAACUACUACAUUGUCAAAUGCUUCUGAAGAAGUUAUGCCUCCUUUAGUGAUGAAAACAGGAAGCUCCCACAAAGGUAGAAGUAACCUUGAUGAGCAUAAGCAAAGACCUUCAUGAGCACCGGAGAAAACAGGCUCAGCUUCCUGCACAACCUGGCCCAUGCUAAAUCCUCCAGCUGGAGCUCUAGUAUUUGAAAAUGCACCACUACCUUCUAGCUGUGGUACUCCAACAAGUCUUGGAUCCUCAAAUGCUUCAGCUGCCCUUUCAGCAGCAACAUUACUUACUAAGGUCUCAGUAUAGAUUAUCCUUGCAGCAAGCAUUAAACACAUGGCAGCAGACUCUCCAGAUCCAAAACGACUGAAGAAAUCCUCUAAUAAUGACCUAGGCGAAUUGGAUUCCAAUAGUCUCCUGAGUACAUCGACUGGUCUGUUAAAAACUACUUCCAUCAUACCCAUAGUGCUGAAUAUGACGAUUCUCCUUCUUGGUAAUAUAUGUUGGGUUGAAAGAUCACCUCUAGCCCAAAGUUUACCCGAAGUUCUUUCACAGGAUUCCCCUGAGUUAUCAUAGCCGAACUCCAGCUGUAAAUAAAGUGACUGCACCGCGGCUGCUGUAUCUGGUAGGGGUAGAACAUCAGCCACGAAAAGCAUCCUUCCUUCAAUGGGCAGGGAUGACACCAAUUCACGGAGUGGGCGAGAACUCCUAGUACCUGCUCCCAAGCUACUUGAAGAAGAUUGAGAACUUGAAUCCCGAUUUACAAUAAGAAGAGAAGAAACAGUCGGUGGAGAUGAAUCAGAAAGGACAAGAGUCCCAGCAGAAUAAUAGGCUGAUUCUAUCUUCAGUGACAGAUCUUCACUCUGUGAUCUACUAGCAAGAGAUACAGCUCCAAAUGGAAGCCCACUACCUGCCCCUAGAGGAGGAGCUGGCCUAGUCGUUACAACUUUUAAGCAGUUUGGCUUUUGAUGAUUAAGACCACCGAAACUUCCAGCAGUACUAUUGGUUCCACCAGAAGAAGACGUGGAAAGAUACAUUCUUCUGCCAUCUGAUAGCACAGCAACAAGAUGUAGCCAUUUCGAUUCUAUGACAGAUAACGGUGAGAUGGAAACAAUGGUUGUUUUGGCUGAUCUAGGAGCCCUUGAACCAGCUGGUUGCCUACCACCAUAAGAAUCCCUCUGAUUUAUCAAAUUUCUCUCUUCUGCUACUUUUUUAAGGGGUCCAGCCCCAUUUUCUCCAAGAGAAAACAUCAGAAUUUUCAUCUCUUCGGUACGUGCAUAUAGGAUGUGUCUCUCAUUAUCAAUGACCAUUUCAACAAUGGGAUCUACGGCUCCAAACUUGAAAACAUUUGGCACCACCCACCUUGAUAUGACACUUCCGAGACCUGCAGUUAGACAGAGCUUGCGGCAUCGCUUCUGCCACCCUGAACCAGUUGAGUACUGCAAUUCAUAAAUGUGGCCAUCACGGCCAGCAAGGAAAAUGUGACCUCUAUCUGUGGAACUUAUACAUGUCAUGGUCACUCCAUCAGAUGGAAUUGUAUAAUCUGGUAAUGGCUGAAGUGACACCUCAGCGUAUGGAUCAGUUCCGUCACUGCUUGCAGAACAACAUACACCUACAAGGAUCAACUCAACAGGAGUUGCCAAGAUCAGAAGAUACUGGAUGGCCUCCACGAAAAUUCCAGGUUUGACUUUGGCUAGGCCAACAACGCAUAUAGCUUGUUCAUCGCCACUAUAUUCAGGACAGUGACCAUCCCACUUAUCGAACCGCCAAAGAAACAAUGUGUUGUCCACUGAUGCCCAAGCUCUGCGAAUUUCAGGAAAUACUCCACAUAAUGCAGUUCCUUCUCCACUGGAUGCAUUAUAUCUCUCAAUCAAUACAGAAGGCAACUCCCAAGAGUCCACGACUUCCACUAAAGGAGGCCACUCACGGGGUUGAGCAGUAUAAGGAUGACUAGCAUAUCUAGAAGCUUCCAAUGCAUCUUCAAGAUCGAUUUGAGAAGCUACAUCACGGCCAAUGCGGUCACUAACUACAAGUCCG
rnacentral:misc_RNA from 1 species